UUCUUUUUCUUUUUCUACGAUUAUUCUGCACUCCUAUCAUUUUCUGUUUGAAGUUUGAAUUUUAAUUUUUUUCUCCAUUUGCAGGCAACUAUGCACUGGCGAAUACAGGAAAGCAGGGCUGCCUGUUGAUUACAAGGGUUGCCAAUUUCAUAGGGUUAUUAAAGAUUUUAUGAUUCAAGCUGGAGAUUUUCUCAAGGGUGAUGGUAGUGGAUGCACUUCCAUUUAUGGUCACAAGUUUGAAGAUGAAAAUUCUAUCACCAGACACACUGGUCCGGGGCUGCUAUCAAUGGCAACAGUGGUCCAAACACUAAUGGUUGUCAGUUCUUCAUAACAUGUGCAAAAUGUGAGUGGCUUGAUAAUAAGCUCGUUGUAUUCGGGAGGGUGCUUGGAGAUAAUCUUCUCGUUGUUCGGAAGAUCGAGAAUGUGGCCACAGGGCCGAACAACAGGACGAAACUACCAUGCAUUAUAGCCGAGUGUGGCGAGAUGUAAAACUUGAUAUUUCAUUGAACACAUAUGCUGAAGACUAACCGUGAAUGAUAUUGCUGUAAGCAUUUUAGAACUUAUUUACUCUAACAUCUGUUUGACG